CAGGGAUCAAACCCGAGCCACAGCAGUGACCUUAACCUUAACACCAAAUCCUAGGCCACGAGGGAACUCUGAGCAUUACACUUUUGCCUAGAAGAUCUAAGUCACUUUACAACAGAGAAGCAAUGACCAACCCAAGCACAGAGGCUCAGAUGUGGAGUUUCUGAACAUAUUUCACUUUAACUGCAGUUUUCAGGAAAUGAGACCCCGAUUACACUUAGUCCUAACCUGAUGAGGACUCUUAUUCCCAGUCCUGCUUAGCUUUGAGCCUAUCAAACACUGCUUCAUUCUGUAAGAUGAUACCACUUCAUACCUACUAGGAUGCCUAUAAUCAAAUCCAUGGAAAAUAACAAGUGUUGGUGAGGAAGUGGAAAAAUUGCAACCCUCAUGUAUUGUUGGUGGGAAUGUAAAAUGGUGCAGCUACUGUGAAGACAAUUUAAUAGUUCUUCAAAAAGCUGAAGAUGGCAUUACCAGGUGGCCCAACAAUUCCGCUUCUGGGUAUAUGUCCUGAAGCAUUGGAAACAGGGACUCAGACCGGUAUUUGAAUUCAGUAUUCAUAGCAGAAUUAUUCCUAAUAGGCAAAAUGUGGGAACAACCCAAUGUCCAUCAAUUGAUGAAUGGGAAAACAAAAUAUGGUCAAUCCUUACAACGGAAUAUUAUUCAGCCUCAAAAGGGAAGGAAAUUUUGAAACAUGAUGCAAUGUGGUUAAACCUUGAGGACAUUAUGCUAAGUGAAACAAGGCAGGCACAAAAGAAUAUUGUGAUUCCACUUACAUGGGGAGCCUGAAGUAGUCAAACUCAGAGACACAGAAAGUAGGAGUAGCUUCCAGGGGCUGAGGGGGUGGGGGUAUGAGGAGUUAAUGGUUAAUGGCUACAGAAUUUCAGUUGCACAAAAUGGAAAGUGUUCUGGAGAUGGAGGCCAGUGAUGGUAGCAUGGUAAAGUGAGUAUACUUAAUACCACUGAACUCCACUCUUCAAAAUGGUUAAGAUGGUUUUAAAAAACACCUCUUUAAAUUUUACCUACACUCUAUUCUUCCCCAAAUGCUGUACUAACCCUGUUUUCCCUCUGUUGGGUGAGACACUCAUAGUUUCUCUGGAGUCCUGUCUUGCUUAUAGCAAUGAACCAACAAACCUGAUUUUGUUGGACUGUAAGUUUGUUCCUGGUGGACUUUGAUUGAUUGGACUAAGAAAGUGUUCACUAUUCUCUAACAAACCAGAUAUUAUUUUAAUGGAAUUUUGGGAAUAGUGGCACACUGUGGCCUUGGGAAUAUUGCAGGUCCAUGUACUAAGCCAAGGGGAAAAUGUAAUUCAGUCCCCAGUUGAGGACUGGUUUGUUCUCUCCUCUCCCAGGGCCCCAAGUUUCCAUAAAGCCAUGGUUCCAGGCAGAAAGUGGCAGCAUCUGUGUUCAGCAUCUUUUCAAGAACAGAAGACCUUGACCUAAUCUCUGGGCUCUCCAUUCACAUGGCUUCAGGGCCAUCCAGGGAGAAGCAGAGUUCAUGCUUCUCAUUCUAUAGUGGUGGCUGCUCGGGUGUUACUUCUGGCUUCCUGACCUAGAUCCUAACUAGGUUGGGGUUUCUGUCUCUCGCUGUUCUGAGGUCCUGUUCUGCUUAUUUUCUUACACCAACUAUGCCCACUUAGUUAUCUAUUAUUGCUCUUGGUUUUGAUCAGGGCUUGAGGGCGAGGCAUAACAAAUGCAGCAAAGCAUGAAGACACCGUGUCAUCCUGACCAGAGGUUCUAGUUUAAAACUUUUCAUGGCCUUGAGCUCUAAAAAGAUUAUAGAGCCUUUCUGCCACAUGAAUUUGAAAUGAAAACACCAAGCUAUAAAAUAGUUGCUAAACCAUCCAACAUUGUUCUGACUUUCUUAAAGAAGACUACUUUGAUUUUUCAAAAUAUCAACUCUCAAAUUAUAUCCAUUUUCCUUGCUGCCUCUGCUUUGAUAGUUUCCCAGCCAUUUAUAUAGUGUGCCCACCAGGUAACCCAGCACCUCACUACCAUGAAUGGGUAAGUACAUGUAGACCUGUGUAAUAACCUAGUCUUAUAAGUGGCGAGUGAUCAAUUUGAGCAAUAGUGACUUUGGCCAGGAGAACAAUAAAUAGUGUUAAUUUCGGGAUUGUACCUUGUAGGGACUGUCACCUAAAGUCACCUACAAUCAAUUGCAUGAUUAAAAAUUGUACACAGUGUCUUAACUUUGCCAAAUAAGCCUACUUUGGUCAGCUGUGAAUUUGGUGGGGGAAAAAACCCCCUAAACUCCACUGUAUUUUGAUUUUUAGGCCCGCACCCAUGGCAUAUUGAGGUUCCCAGGCUAGGGGCCAAAUCGGAGCUGCAGCUACCAGCCUACACCAGAGCCACAGCAACUCAGGAUCUGAGCCGCAUCUUUGACCUACACCACAGCUCACAGCAACGCCAGAUCCUUAACCCACUGAGCAAGGCCAGAGAUCAAACCUGCAAACUUAUGAUUCCUAGUCAGAUUCGUUUCUGCUGCGCCAUGACAGGAACUCCUAAACUCCACUGUUUUUAAUAGAGCCUGUUUAGACAAAAUUGUGACGUUAGUGAAGUUGCUUUAUGGUGCUUUUCCUUUUUCCUUCUGGGGAUGCACCUACAAUUCCUAUUUCUUGCCCCAGGUAUCUCUCUCAUGUCUCACUGUUGUAGAGCUUUGGAAAGAAACUGAGAAACAGAGUAGGGAAAAGGCACUAUGUAGGGAAUAAAAUCAAUGAAUUUUAGUUUAAGUUCAGCCAACAGUUGACUUCAUGACCUUGGAUAAUAUCUUUGAAUCUCAAUUUAUUCAUUAUAAAUUUGGAGAAAAAGUAGUAAUUGUAUUACUAAGCUCUUUUUCUUUCCUGCCUACAGAUUUCAACUAUUUUAGAAAACCUCAUUCCCAAUAACACAUUAGCUGAUGUAGUGUCGUUUUUCUCUGAGAUGUAAUAGGGAAAUCUUGGAAACCAAAAAUUUUUAGAUCUUUACUGGGUUUUUUUUUGUUUUUUGUUUUUUGUUUGUUUGUUUGUUUUUGCUAUGUAGGGCCACACCUGUGGAAUAUGGAAGGUCCCAGGCUAGGGUUCGAAUCUGAGCUGCAGCUGCCAGCUUAUACCACAGCCACAGCAAUGCAGGAUUUGAGCCAAGUCUACAACCUACACCACAGCUCAUAGCAAUGCCAGAUCCUUAACCCACUAAGCAAGGUCAGGGAUCAAACCCUCAUCCUCAUGGAUGCUAGUCAGUCUAUUUCUGCUAAACCACAGUGGGAACUCCUUGGUCCUUACAUUUUUAACAAGAUUAUUUCAGGUGCCAUAGCAGGUUGAUGGAGAAAUAUUUUUCUGUGGAAAUCUUUCAGGAGACUUUACAUCACACAAAAAAGUUGACUUAUCUGUAAAUCUGCAUUGGGGAAAGGAGAGGAAUCACGAUUUUUAUUUGCUAGUUUAAUCACUUUCACCAGUUUGAAAUUUGACUCUUUACCAAGCACUAAUGUGAGAGUCCUGGGAUCCUUUUCUCUUCUAAUUAAGCACAUUUUGUGUAGCUCCUUAUUUUUCCCCCCAUUUUUCUCUGGUGUUUGUUUAUGACUUUCAUGAUAUACAUUGCUUGUGGUAAAAUUUAUGUUGCUAAAUAAUACUGUUGUAAAUUAGACCACUAUUCCCUGGUCUUGUUUAGAUCUCAUCAGUGGAGCUCUGUUCACUCAGAUAUUUUCAGUCACAGAUAAAUUGCUCUGUCCCAUUUGCAUUUCAGUAAUUUUCUGAUUUAGACAUGGAGUUGGUAAUGGGCAUAAUUCAGGAGGGGUGACUUGAGGGGAGGGAAUCUCCUGAGAGCCUGGCAUCCUUAGCAAGAUCCCCAAAUAGUCACUAUUUUCCACUAUGGAGUAUCUUCUUGUAUGAGAAUAAAUAAAAGUUAAUUGUCUUUAUAAAGCAGUGUUGGAAAUGGUGUCAGCUAUUUUCCUCUCUUUGUAUAUCCUGCUGCCAAUUUGGAUUCAAAUUGGUUUGGUAAGGAGUUUUGCCCCAGGGGUCCAUUUUAAUAGCUGCAUUUCUGAUUUGUCAUAAUUUACUGGAGUACAUGGACUAUUAAAACCAUGAUUUCAAAGGCCAACUCUUAGAAGAAAGACAUUGAUUGUUGGUUAUGUGGCUUGAUUUCCGCUGUGGCCUCUCAAUCUUCACUCUUCCAUUAAGUCUUUGCUGACAAUUUCCUUUGUUUUUAUGUUGUUCUUUCUACUUUUUCAAAGAGUAUGAGCAUCUUAAGGAAGAGACCAGUUUGUUUACUUAUAGGACCUAAUCCAGUUUUGGACAAUUGUAAAUACAUGGAAAAUGAAAUUGACUUCUCUAUUUAAAUCCCAAAAUAUAGUAUUUAACUUACAAGCAUUUUAUUGAUUAGUUGUUUUGUCUUCAAAAUGCCAAACAAAUGGUCUGAAUGAUUUUUUUUCUAUUAUUGAAUUUAUGUAUGUGUGUGAUGGGGGAUGGGGAGGGAGCACUUAAUCAACUAUCCUGACAGGUUGUUUUUGCCUUCUGAAAACAGCUUUUAAACAGAAAACCUGGAUCCAUUAACUGAUACGAAAUUGCUUUAACCCCCUGCACUGCACGAAAGGUGAUGUGUGUAUAUGUGAAUAGAUUCACACACGCAAUAUUGAAAUUAUGAAAGGGAAAAGAACUAGACCAUUGCCUUUUUAGGUGCUUCUCCUUUGAAAAAAGAAAAUGUCAUACAUAUUAUUAAAAAUAAACACUAUAUUAACAAUAUAUUAACAUAUUAUAUUAACAGAAUAUUAACAAUAACAAAAUCUCCCUUUCCUUAGCCCCCUGGAACUACCCUCCAGAAACAAUAAUUAUUCACUGCUUUUUAUAUAUCCUUCUAGAGAUGUUUAUUGGACACACACACACCUUCUAUAGACUGUUUUGUUUACUGCUUGAAUGUUGGCUAUAAUAAACAUCUUUUCAUAUUGGAAAAUAUAGUCCUAUCUCCUUCAUUUUAAUGGCUACAAAAUAUUCCCUUGUAUGAAUGUACCAAAUUUAUUUAAGCAGUCUCAUAUUAAUUUACACUAAUAUUUGCUAUUUAAAUUAAGUUGUGAACAAACAUCUGAUAUAUAUUGGCACACUUGUGUAAAGUAUGUUUGUUUAAAUUUUGGUAGAUAUUGUCAAAACAAAAUGCCAAUUUAUAUUUCAACCAAUGACAUAUCAAAGUGUGUUUUCUUGCACCCUCACCAACACUGAGUUUUAUCAAGAUUUAAAAGUUUUUCCAACCUGAUAGGUGAAAUUUGGUGUUUUAUAUUGUUUUGAAUUGUCUUUUAAACAUUAUGAACAAUGUUGAACACACUUUGUGUUUUUUUUUUUUUUUGCCAUUUAUAUUUCUUUGGUCUGUGAGCUCUCUCUUCAUACUGUUUGUCCAUUUUUGUUGAAUUGUUCUUUCUCUCAUUUAUUUGCAAGGGUUUGGGGGUAUCAUAAAGAAACUAGUCCACUGUCAUACUCAUUCAUUCACUAGUCAAAGAAUAUUGAGUGGCCAUUAUGUUGUAGGCAUUGGAGAUGGUGUAAUGAGCAAAAUGGAUAAAAUUCUUGCUCUCGUGCAACUUACAUUUAUUGGGAAAAGAUAAAAAUAAACAAGAUAAAUAAAAUUGUAUAUAGGCUAGAUGGGGAGAUGUAAUGAGAGUUUGAUAAAUGUCGCUUCUGACUGUUUCUAUUCUCUUAGCAAGAUAGGAAACAGCAUCAUUGCUAGAGGGAGCAAGAGGGAGGAGUAAGAGGACGUGCUCACCUUCUCCCUCAAACACAUCAAAAAAACACGUCUACAUGUAAAAUAACUCGCACAGAACAUCAACUGAAUGCUGGCAGAAGAACUUAAACCUCCAAAAAGGGCAAGAAACUCUUGACAUAAU
rnacentral:lncRNA from 1 species